rnacentral:rRNA from 1 species
AUGGAGAGGACAGAAGGCGAAGGAGGUGGAGGAUACCGGCUUCAAGCUGUGGUACACGGGGACGGCUGCAAACAGAAAUUGUUAGGCAUCUUGAUCAACAAGAGCCUCAAGUAUGGAGUGGUAGACGUCAAGAGACGUGGGGACCGGAUUAUCUUGGUCAAGCUGGUAGUUGAGGACUUGGUUCUCAAUGUUAUCAGCGCGUAUGCCCCGCAAGUAGGCCACAAUGAGAACACCAAGAGGGAGUUCUGGGAAGGCCUGGAAGACAUGGUUAGGAGUGUACCGAUUGGUGAGAAGCUCUUCAUAGGAGACCUCAAUGGCCACGUGGGUACAUCUAACACAUGUUUUGAAGGGGCGCAUGGGGGCUUUGGCCAUGGCAUCAGGAAUCAAGAAGGAGAAGAUGUCUUAAGCUUUGCUCUAGCCUACAACAUGAUUGUAGCUAACACCCUCUUUAGAAAGAGAGAAUCACAUCUGGUGACUUUUAGUAGUGGCCAACACUCUAGCCAGAUUGAUUUCAUCCUCUCAAGAAGAGAAGAUAGGCGUGCGUGCCUAGACUGUAAGGUGAUACCUGGAGAGAGUGUUGUACCCCAGCAUAAGCUGGUGGUUGCUGACUUCCGCUUUCGGAUUCGUGUCCAGCGGGAUAAGCGUGCCAAAGUCGCUAGAACGAAGUGGUGGAAGCUCAAGGGGGAGGUAGCUCAGGUGUUCAAGGAGAGGGUCAUUAAGGAGGGCCCUUGGGAGGAAGGAGGGGAUGCGGACAAUGUGUGGAUGAAGAUGGCGACUUGCAUUCGUAAGGUGGCCUCGGAGGAGUUUGGAGUGUCCAGGGGAAGGAGAAGCGAAGAUAAGGAUACCUGGUGGUGGAAUGAUGAUGUCCAGAAGGCGAUUAAAGAGAAGAAAGAUUGCUUCAGACGCCUAUACCUGGAUAGGAGUGCAGACAACAUAGAGAAGUACAAGAUGGCGAAGAAGGCCGCAAAGCGAGCUGUUGGUGAAGCAAGGGGUCAGGCAUAUGAGGACCUCUACCAACGGUUAGGCACGAAGGAAGGUGAAAGGGACAUCUAUAAGAUGGCCAAGAUCCGAGAGAGGAAGACGAGGGACAUUGGCCAAGUCAAAUGCAUCAAGGACGGAGCAGGCCAACUCUUGGUGAAGGACGAGGAGAUUAAGCAUAGAUGGCGGGAGUACUUCGACAAGCUGUUCAAUGGGGAGAAUGAGAGUUCUACCAUUGAACUAGACGACUCCUUUGAUGAGACCAGCAUGCGUUUUGUGCGGCGAAUCCAGGAGUCUGAGGUGAAGGAGGCUUUAAAAAGGAUGAAAGGAGGCAAGGCGAUGGGCCCUGAUUGUAUCCCCAUUGAGGUGUGGAGAGGUCUCGGGGACAUAGCAAUAGUAUGGCUAACCAAGCUUUUCAACCUUAUUUUUCGGGCAAACAAGAUGCCAGAAGAAUGGAGACGGAGUAUAUUAGUACCAAUCUUCAAGAACAAGGGGGAUGUUCAGAGUUGUACUAAUUACCGUGGAAUUAAGCUGAUGAGCCAUACAAUGAAGCUAUGGGAGAGAGUCAUUGAGCACCGCUUAAGAAGAAUGACAAGCGUGACCAAAAAUCAGUUUGGUUUCAUGCCUGGGAGGUCGACCAUGGAAGCCAUUUUCUUGGUACGACAACUUAUGGAGAGAUAUAGGGAGCAAAAGAAGGACUUGCAUAUGGUGUUCAUUGACUUGGAGAAGGCCUAUGAUAAGAUACCGCGGAAUGUCAUGUGGUGGGCCUUGGAGAAACACAAAGUCCCAGCAAAGUACAUUACCCUCAUCAAGGACAUGUAUGAUAAUGUUGUGACAAGUGUUCGAACAAGUGAUGUCGACACCGAUGACUUCCCGAUUAAGAUAGGACUGCAUCAAGGGUCAGCUUUGAGCCCUUAUCUUUUUGCAUUGGUGAUGGAUGAGGUCACAAGGGAUAUACAAGGAGAUAUCCCAUGA